UACCAGCACCCCGAGUGGUCGGGACGAUUAUUGGGCCUAAAGCAUCCGUAGCCGGUCAUGCAAGUCUUCCGUUAAAUCCAGCCGCUCAACGGUGGGGCUGCGGAGGAUACUACGUGGCUAGGAGGCGGGAGAGGCAAGCGGUACUCAGUGGGUAGGGGUAAAAUCCUUUGAUCCAAUGAAGACCACCAGUGGCGAAGGCGGCUUGCCAGAACGCGCUCGACGGUGAGGGAUGAAAGCUGGGGGAGCAAACCGG
rnacentral:rRNA from 1 species